CUGGGCACGUGCCGAUUCUGAGUCAGCGGGUCGAGGGGCCCAAGAUCUUCCAUUUCUGACCCAUUACCAGGUGACGCCCAUGCUGCCGGUCAGGGCACUCCACCGAGUAUCAGGGGACCUGAGAUCGGGUCCUUGUAUUAAUUAGCGAAGGUUUAAAACAAGACCCAUUGGCAACAAGAUGAUCUAGGAACAGUGUGGCCUCAGUGCACAGUGACACAGAACGUGCAGUAACAGGAAAAACAGAGGGCUACCUGAGUACACGUCUUCCAAGUGAUCACAUUACAAGUUUCCAUCUCAUUCCACCCGCCGUGCACCCACCAAUUACUGAGCCCCGCCUUUGUGACAGGUGGUGUCGCUAGCAAGCUGAUCGGAACAUUAUGUGAUGGUUCUGUGAGUCAUAUAGAAGCUCUGGAUUCCAAGCCCAUCUUAACAUUCCCUGAUGUGUAAACCCAGAGAAGUUCCCUAGUCUCUCUGGGUCUCUAUCUCCUCAUCUGCAAACGGGGACAGUACCUACAUACGCCCUACAGGUACAAGGACACUAACAGAACCUCCCUCUUAAGGUUGUGAAGAAUGAAUGAGAUCAUGUCUCUGUCAGUCUGGACACAUCUAAUUACUCAUGAAAUGGCAGCUGUUCUUAGAAAUAGUGACUCUAACCUCAGGCAGCACAGAGGAUGCUAUUUUUGAAAUUCAACUUGUCCCAAAUGGAAAAAAGUAAUUUGGUUUGGUUUUCUUUUCCAUUUUGGUAGCACAACUAUUAGACUCAUUAAACUUGAAAAUCACCUUUUUUACCCACUAAAAUUAAAAAAAAAAAAGUAUAGAUUUUAAAAAAUGAGGGUGACCUAAACUCACUUUGGUUAAAUGUGUUGCUCCACAGAUGAGAAACUGGGGUGUGGUUGGGCCAAAUGAGUCGACCAAAGUGACAGGUGGUCGAUGGCAGAAAUGUGCUCAGAAACUCCUGGAAACCCCAGGCCGGGCUCUUGUCAGUCUGACUGCCUGGCCCUACCCGAAGUCACCCAAAAGGUCUCAAGCAAGUUGACAGGAUCCAGAGAUAGCCACCUGAUGAAACCGCUGUCAGUGUGUGAUUAUCGAAGAUUCAAAAACUAAGGAGUGCAAAAUGGUUAUCAUCCUUUCCAGCGAUCAAGGAUCUGCUGGCCUCCUCCUUGCUUGUCCCCAACCAGAGCCAGCGACAGCAUCCGCCAUGCGUCACACGGCCCCAUGAAGUACGCACCUGCCUUCAUGUCUAUACCUCAUUAACGUAACCGAUGAUGAGAAAGAAUGACAUGGUACCCAAAGCCCGUAUUAGCACAGGCCAACUCCCAAAACAUCCCUUUGUGAGCUGGGCAGCUUUGUUCACUACAUGAUUCCACGCUACAGCAUCCUCUAUUUAUCAGAUGGCUUCAACCACAGGAACAUGGCGCCCCAGUCUUUGCUGAAGCACAUCCUUCACCGUGCAGUGCUGAAGUGUGGGAACAGACAGCUGAGAUGUCUCGGAGACAUGCAGCCACGUACACGGAAGUCCAUGUAUGGACAAGACGUACAGAAAGACGGCAAUGGGGUGCUCUCUCCUGUCGCUGGAAGGAAACAGAAAUGUUCUCUGCUCUUGGCCGGAGAGUGCCCAGAUGAGCAGGACACUUGUCCAGCGGUUCUGCAGUAGUAACAGAGGCCAAUGUUGCAUUCCUCUCAUUUCCAAGCAAGCCACAGCAAUCCCAAUAGUGCACGUGUAGGGAGUUUGUUCUUAAAUCACCCAACUGUGUCUCCCAGGAUGUACGUCCUAACAAAAGCAAAAUGGGAGCUAUUCACAAACACCCAACUUUUUAAUAUAAAAUUCUGAGUUGAAUUCUCUGUCACCUUACGUUUUCUUCUAAAGACUCUAUCAUUUCCACAUGCAACUGUGUGCUUCAUAUAAGCCUAAUCCUUUUGCCUCUGCACCUUACGUUCUAGAUUUUCUUCCUAUGUCCUGCACAUUAAACGCAACUCAACUCCCGCAGAAUAAAAAUGUGCAGGUAUCAGGCUUUCUGUCUGUUUAUGACCAUGUGGUUGAAUUUCAGCAAAACUCACAGAAUGUGGGAUCUCAAAAGGGAACUUGCAGAUGACCUUGUUUAUAUCUUCCGUGUAGCUUCUGGGGAAACUGAGUCUGUAAUAGUUCGGUGACUUUGCUAAGACUCGGUAAUGACUAAGCCGAGACCAUGAAUUUCUGCUAUCUUGCAUUUCCCAUUUACUAUACGUUUAUUUUCUACCCAACAGGGUGAAGCAUUCGCCUGGUUACUUUUGCAGAACAGCCACUUCAGAAAACUGGCAGUUUCUUUCCAAGUUAAAUAUAUGUCUAUUCUACGACCCAGUGAUUCUGUUUCUAGGAACCUACCCAGGGGAAAUGAAAACAUAUGUCCAUAUAAAGACUUGUACAAAAAUGUUCAUAGCAGCUGUAUUCAUAAUAACCCCAACUGGAAACAAUAUUAAUGUACAAUAAUAGGCCAAUGGAUAAACAAAUUGUGGUGUAUAUAUAAACUGGAACAUUAGUUAUUUUCGCAGGUAUUCUGGGCAAGCUCUCCUGAUGCAGUGAGCACAAAGAGGCAAGUUCAAUUUGCGUGGAUUAUCACCAGGGUCCUUUGUAGUCCUGGCCAUCUUCACUCAUUUCUUUGGUACAUCCCUUCUCCCACUGCUAGCCGAUUUUAUACCUUCUUCUCCCAAACCUCAAAUACUUUACAACUUCCUCAUCCAU